AAGGUACAAUCCAAAGUGAUUCCUCAUUGGCUUAGUGAAGAGAUAAUAUAAUUUCUAACAGUGUUUUGAGCAUUUAUGUUUAGUAUUUACUGCGCUAUAUGUACACUGGAUGAACAGAAAAACUUUGCGCAUGCAUCUUAAAGGGGACAUAUUAUGCAAAACCAAUUUUUUAAUUGUUUGCAGUUCAGAUUUUGCUCCCCUUGCUACGUCACAGAGGCAUGCAUUUUCAUAUUGCAACCUUUAACCUGCAUGUUGCCACCCAUUUCCGCCCUGUAUUAGCAGAGCUCCGCCAUUGCCCCUACAAGCGAGCAAGCGGCCGGCGUUAUGUCUGAGCAAAGGCUUAAGCACGCUAACUGUUCAGUCCUUGGCUUCCCAGCCCAGCACAAAUCUCUUUAUAGUCUCCCAGCCUCAGGCGAUGUAUGAGCACAGUGGAUUCAUUUUAUUUUUGAUGGCAAUGGCCCGGCUAGAGUCGUCAAAAGUCUGUACGUGUGUGCAAACCACUUUGUAUCGGACUGUUUUAACAACCUCGGUCAGUAAUAUACUGGACUGGCUAAAAGACUGUUCCUGAAAGAGGGAGCAGUACCAACUGUCCGUAGCAAGACGGCAGAGGAAGUAACAGUACCAUCAGCAGAGUACGGAUUUGGAGCACCUGGUUGAGGCGCUCCUUAAAGGAUAAAAACCCUGUCUCAACUUUGCUCUGGUCUCUCUCUCUCUCUCUCUCUCUCUCUCUCUCUCUCUCUCUCUCUCUCUCUCUCUCUCAUUGGGCUGCAUUCCUGCCAGCAGCAGCAGCACAUUCUCUUUGUUUGGUUUCUGAUUUGUUUUCACUUUACAACAUUUACACCUCAUAUUGCUCACACAUCCACAUUUACAUUACUGAUGUUACUGACUGACACACUUCACAUUUGUACUUAUAACCUCAGUUGUUUAAGUUAAUAUAAUAAAUUCACUAAUUUCUUGCCAUC